UCUUUCCCUCUGAACUCGCCGGUUUCUGUUCUCAUAUCUCUUUACAUUCCCUGAGUUGAAUGAUUCUUAAAAUUCGGUAAUAACUGUGAAUCACAUUAAAAUCUGUAACGAUCCCGCUCUUCGUUUCUUCUCUGUCAAAUCUAUAAAUAAGGGAUGGUUGAAACUUGGCUGAACCUUCGCAAUCACUUUCAGUCUAUUUUCUUUUUCGAGCAUAAAGAGAUUCUGAGAAAAUGUCUUCCUCCGAUCCUAUUGUUGCACAAUCAGCCUUUCAUUGUUGUGCGUCUGCUCCGUUUUUGGGACUCCAAAAAUAACAAAAAAGCAUGGUGAAUUCAUGGGAAUCACUCUAUUUCUCCUUGAUGAAAAGUGUUUUCUAGGAGCGAUGUUCCUUCAUUUGUGUAGGCGACGAUUGGUGUUAAUUGACGCCCUUCGAACCGCACCGUCGUAUUCAGGGGAUUUGAAGAGGACAGUAACAGGAUUCAAAUCAACACCGAUCUUCGUGGUCGCAAGGUGUCAGACAUUUUUCAGAUUGUGUUAGCAUCGUUUUAGUUGAGUUUGGCUCUGUUUCGUGUUGUGAUUAUCUGCGUUUCGUUGCAGAUUCAAGAGCUUAAGCUGUGUUUGGAUUACAUUACCUUAAUUCCACUUUGAUUUUGACACCGGUGGUUGUUGUUUUUUAAGCUGUGUUGGUAUUUCUCGGAGACUUGGGAGCAGUUUCAGAUCAAUGGAAGGGUUUAGGUCAUUGAUGCAUAGUUAUGACCAGACCAAGCUUCAGGCCGGAUAUACAAUGUGGGGACAUCACACCUCAGAGCCUUAACGUGUGAGGCGACAAGGAGGGGACAUCACGCCUCAGAGCCAUAGCAAAGCUGAGGGCUUACCUUUUGUACAUGAGGCGUCCCUACAUAAAAAGAAGUCAAGAGGCGUCCAAGGCGUGUGAGGCGUCAAAGGCGAUGUGAAGCGUGGUAGAGCGUCGCCUUCCUGAAAACGCCUCGCCUUACCUCUGCAAGGCGAUGACCCCUCCAACUGAGGUCGCCUCAUGCCUUAGCGUUCGCUUUUUAAAACCCUAUACAUAACUCAGUUUAACAACUCAGAGAAGGAAGAAAGACUUCUUUUUUAUCCUCAUUGUUUUGAUUUUGGUUUCUUAAUGUAGCUAAGAGAGAAGACUUGGUUUGCUAAUUCUCUAACGUCAAGGCUGAUGUACUUGCGCCAGUGAGUAAUCAGAUCAAGAAGUUAAGUUAGUUCCCUCAAAUGGUCCAGUUGCUGUUCACUGGCUAAUGCUUCUAGAGCCAGAAAAGGUUUUUAUUUAUUUAUAAAUUUUUUUUUUGAUGUCCCUUUCGUUGAAGCUAGCAGAUUGUUUCAUUAGUGAUUUCUCUUGAUGACAAGUUUAUUACUUGAAUCUGAAAAGCAAUCAGAGGCUUUUGUUUUCACAGUCCAUAAUUAGUGGAACAGGAGAGAAGCGCUUGAUUUCUGAAAAGGUGAAUCCAUGAUUAAGUUUUAGUGCCUGA